CAGCCCGCCCUCCGCCGCCGAGUUCACCGGCGAGGCCAAGGGGUACAUGGGCCCCGUGCUGUCGUUCCUGGCCCGGACCGGGUCGCCGCUGAUGGCCAACAUCUACCCGUACCUUGCGUGGGCCUACAACCCGAGCGCCAUGGACAUGAGCUACGCGCUCUUCACCUCCAAGGGCACGGUGGUGCAGGACGGCGCCUACGGGUACCAGAACCUGUUCGACACGACGGUGGACGCCUUCUACUUCGCCAUGGGCCGGCACGGCGGCUCCGGCGUGCCGCUGGUGGUGUCGGAGAGCGGGUGGCCGUCCGGCGGCGGCGAGCAGGCGAACGCGGCCAACGCCAGGAUCUACAACCAGUACCUGAUCAACCACGUCGGGCGCGGCACGCCGAGGCACCCCGGCGGCAUCGAGACCUACCUCUUCUCCAUGUUCAACGAGAACCAGAAGGACAGCGGCGUGGAGCAGAACUGGGGGCUCUUCUACCCCAACAUGCAGCACGUCUACCCCAUCAGCUUCUGAUCACCGGAGCUCUCGUCUAUGAUUAAGUACGUAUACGGGGUACG
rnacentral:lncRNA from 1 species